UGUAUCGCUGAUGAUAUCUUGGCUCCCUCUACUGAGCUUUCGUGCGGAAGACUGCCAUUGUUACCCAAUUUCUGUCUGAGAUAUG
ensembl:snoRNA